CUCUUUUUGAUUAUAAUUUAAAGUAGGGCCUGCCCACUGAGUUUUUGAAGGGCCGCAGUAUUUUGACUGUGCAAAGGUAGCAUAAUCAUUAGUUUUUUAAUUGAAAGCUUGUAUGAAUGGUUUGAUGAGAAAAAAUCUGUCUCAAUUUUAAUAAUUUAGAAUUUUAUUUUUAAGUAAAAAAGCUUAAAUAAUUUUAAAAGACGAGAAGACCCUAUAGAGUUUUAUUUAAAAUAAUUUUAUAAGUUUUAGAAUUUAAAUUUUUUAAUAUUAUAUUAAAUUGGGUUGGGGCGACUAAAAAAUUAAAUUAACUUUUUUUUUAUUUGAACAUUAAUUUAUGAAUAAUUGAUCCAUAAAAAUGAUUAAAAGAUUAAAUUACCUUAGGGAUAACAGCGUAAUUUUUUUUGAAAGUUCUUAUNNAGAAAAA
rnacentral:rRNA from 1 species